rnacentral:rRNA from 1 species
UACGUAGGGACCGAGCGUUGUCCGGAAUCAUUGGGCGUAAAGAGCGUGUAGGCGGCUUGCUAAGUCUUGCGUGAAAUCUCGGGGCUCAACCCCGAGCGGUCGUGGGAAACUGGCAGGCUAGAGUGCGGGAGAGGAGAAUGGAAUUCCUGGUGUAGCGGUGAAAUGCGCAGAUAUCAGGAGGAACACCCGGUGGCGAAGGCGGUCUC